AACGAACGCUGGCGGCAUGCCUAACACAUGCAAGUCGAACGAUUGCCUUCGGGUGAUAGUGGCGCACGGGUGCGUAACGCGUGGGAAUCUGCCCUUAGGUUCGGAAUAACAGCUGGAAACGGCUGCUAAUACCGGAUGAUAUCGCGAGAUCAAAGAUUUAUCGCCUGAGGAUGAGCCCGCGUUGGAUUAGGUAGCUGGUGGGGUAAAGGCCUACCAAGCCGACGAUCCAUAGCUGGUCUGAGAGGAUGAUCAGCCACACUGGGACUGAGACACGGCCCAGACUCCUACGGGAGGCAGCAGUGGGGAAUAUUGGACAAUGGGCGCAAGCCUGAUCCAGCAAUGCCGCGUGAGUGAUGAAGGCCCUAGGGUUGUAAAGCUCUUUUACCCGGGAAGAUAAUGACUGUACCGGGAGAAUAAGCCCCGGCUAACUCCGUG
rnacentral:rRNA from 1 species